rnacentral:rRNA from 1 species
GACGAACGCUGGCGGCGUGCUUAACACAUGCAAGUCGAACGGAAAGGCCCUGCUUUUGUGGGGUGCUCGAGUGGCGAACGGGUGAGUAACACGUGAGUAACCUGCCCUUGACUUUGGGAUAACUUCAGGAAACUGGGGCUAAUACCGGAUAGGAGCUCCUGCUGCAUGGUGGGGGUUGGAAAGUUUCGGCGGUUGGGGAUGGACUCGCGGCUUAUCAGCUUGUUGGUGGGGUAGUGGCUUACCAAGGCUUUGACGGGUAGCCGGCCUGAGAGGGUGACCGGCCACAUUGGGACUGAGAUACGGCCCAGACUCCUACGGGAGGCAGCAGUGGGGAAUAUUGCACAAUGGGCGGAAGCCUGAUGCAGCAACGCCGCGUGCGGGAUGACGGCCUUCGGGUUGUAAACCGCUUUCGCCUGUGACGAAGCGUGAGUGACGGUAAUGGGUGAAGAAGCACCGGCUAACUACG